UCCCAACACUGCAAAUAGAUCCGUACAUACUAAAUUGUCUCGAGUUUUUAGGGCUAAAGCACAUACACUUACCACAUAACUUAAAACUGUGGACAGGGGUAACACUGAGUAUCCACCCAAGGUUGUUAUUAUUAUUAUAAAGGAAAGAGCCUGAGUUUUAGUAUGUGUUAGUCUGGUAAAGAUUCUAUUGAUACUUGCCUGCCUACAAGAAAUGUUGCCUCUGACUCUCCACUUCAUAGAAUAAUAAUGUAAAAGACACUGAAACAAAUAAAACUAAACAUUCCACUCUGGAAGCUGACUGAAACUAAAUUCAAUUAAAAGCAAAAAGUCCAAAUAAUAAAAUAUGAAAAUGAAAAACUCUAAUAACUCUGGUGUCCACCACUGGAACAGCAUUCAUGACAUCAAAUAAGGGGAGGUACAAAAGGUCCACUUUCCACCAGCAUGUGGAUUAAGAGGGGAGAAAAAGAAUAAAACCUGGUAUUAUUUUAUUAGUAAUGCUGAGGACCUUUCACUUAAACUAUAACACACCCAGUAAGGUUAAUGCUAAACUUCCCAAAUUUUCAAAACAAAAGUUAACAAACUGCAGUCAUCCCACUUACCUGGAAUCCAAAAUGUAUUAGAUAAUAUUUGGCCUCUAUUGUACUGUUCUGGAACUGUAGAUUGUAACUGGUCCUUGCAUGCUUAAAACCCCAUUUGUUUCCUAAAUGCCUUUUUAUUUUCUUCCAGGGAAAUCCCAGUCAGGUCUGGAUAUCCCCCUUAACCAAGAAUUAAUUGAAAAAGUUACAGAGGAAUACAACAAGUCUCUGGUGUUCAGCCCAGAUGACAACCGUUUGUUCUACAGCGUCAGGGAGCCCAUCGUGAACAGGGUCUUCUCCAGCAGUCGACAGAGAGGCUUUGCCACAAAGUUGUGUGUCCG